rnacentral:rRNA from 1 species
AAUAGAUACCCGGGUAGUCCACGCCGUAAACGAUGGAUACUAGCUGUGGGGGGGUAUCGACCCCUUCCGUAGCGAAGCUAACGCGUUAAGUAUCCCGCCUGUGGAGUACGGUCGCAAGACUAAAACAUAAAGGAAUUGACGGGGACCCGCACAAGCGGUGGAUUGUGUUCUUUAAUUCGAUGAUAAACGACGAACCUUACCAGGGCUUGACAUCCCUUAAAUUUUGCCGAAAGGCGAGAGUGCUUUAUUGAAUAAGGUGACAGGUGAUGCAUGGCCGUCGUCAGCUCGUGUCGUGAGAUGUUUGGUUAAGUCCAUCAACGAGCGCAACCCUUGUGAAUAGUUGUAUUUUUCUAUUCAGACUGCCCCGGCAACGGGGAGGAAGGAGGGGAUGAUGUCAGGUCAGUAUUUCCCUUACGUCCUGGGCUAGAAACGCAAUACAAUGGCCAGUACAAUGCGCAGCGAAGCCGCGAGGUGAAGCAAAUCGCAUCAAAGCUGGUCCCAGUUCGGAUAAGAGGCUGAAACUCGCCUCUUGAAGUCGGAAUCGCUAGU